rnacentral:rRNA from 1 species
GACGAACGCUGGCGGCGUGCCUAAUACAUGCAAGUCGACCUUAGUGGCGAACGGGUGAGUCACCCGUGGGUAACCUGCCCAUCAGAUGGGGAUAACCCUUGCAACCAGGUGCUAAUACCGUAUACUGAUGGCUGGACCCGCGGUGCAUUAGCUCGUGGGUGAGGUAACGGCUCACCAAGGACACGAUGCAUAGCCGACCUGAGAGGGUGAUCGGCCACAUUGGGACUGAGACACGGCCCAGACUCCUACGGGAGGCAGCAGUAGGGAAUCUUCGGCAAUGGACGAAAGUCUGACCGAGCAACGCCGCGUGAGUGAAGAAGGUUGUCGGAUCGUAAAACUCUGUUGUUAGAGAAGCGGUAUCUAACCAGAAAGCCACGGCUAACUACGGGCCAGCAGCCGCGGUAAUAC